UUUCUCUUCUUCACUUCCUGUCAGGAAUCUAUCCGCGUUUCUUCUAUGUUUCGAAGCAGUGCUCCACGUAUUGUCCAAAGCCGAACGUCCGCGAGCCGGAAUUCAGAGAAGGCGGACGAGCAAGCCGCUUGAGGAGCAGCGGGGCCUGGCUGGCCGCCUUCCUGACUCUGUCCUCUGUGUGAGGGGCCUCGGGCGGUGCCUUGGGAGCGCGGCACCGAUGACCCGGACUCGCCGCAGGUGAUGGGAACCUCAGCAUUAAACCUGUUUUCCGCUGGUUAA